AGAGUUUGAUCAUGGCUCAGAGCGAACGUUUGCGGCGGGCCUAACACAUGCAAGUCGAACGGGCUAGCAAUAGUCAGUGGCGCACGGGUGAGUAACGCGUGAGAACGUACCCUUUAGUACGGAAUAACUGAGGGAAACUUCAGCUAAUACCGUAUACGCCCUUCGGGGGGAAAGAUUUAUCGCUAAAGGAUCGGCCCGCGUCUGAUUAGGUAGUUGGUGAGGUAAUGGCUCACCAAGCCUACGAUCAGUAGCUGGUCUGAGAGGAUGAUCAGCCACACUAGGACUGAGACACGGCCCAGACUCCUACGGGAGGCAGCAGGUGGGGAAUAUUGGACAAUGGGGGAAACCCUGAUCCAGCCAUGCCGCGUGAGUGAAGAAGGCCUUCGGGUUGUAAAGCUCUUUCGACGGGGAAGAUGAUGACGGUACUCGUAUAAGAAGCCCCGGCUAACUUCGUG
rnacentral:rRNA from 1 species